CCGGGCUUUGAAGGAAAACCGAGAUCGUCUCAAAUUGUACGGUGCCUGUGUGUUGGGUGCCUCCAUCAAUGUAAGAUUAUCCAAUGUGGCCUCAGUAUUGUAUGUAUUAUUGAAAGUGGAAUAUGUUAUUAAAUGAGAUUCUCUUUCAGAUUAUUGUUGCUAUAAUGGAAGUAUGAUUGUGGAUAUUAAAAUGUGUCUUUUUCAGAUUAUCCAGUGUGGCCACAGUAUUGUAUGUAUUACUGAAUGCGAAUGUAGUUUCAUAUAAUAAUAAGUCAUCUUUCAUGUCGUUGAUACGAGGCUCCGUAAGUGAACAAUUGGUAAGCAAUGUGUUGAAUGUUGAUUUUAUGUUUUCUUUCAGAAUCUGAGGAGUGGAUAUAUCAAUAGUGAAUAAAUUAUGUAUAUUAUUUACAUGUACUGUCGUGCGUUUUGCUUCUUCUGUUUCAGGUGGUGAAGGUUUUUCGGCUGGGUUUUUCUCCUUCACCUGAUUGGCAUCACAAUUGGCAACACUAUUGGCAUUACAAUUAACACAAUUCCCCGCACUAUUGGCUUUAAUAAAUAUAUUUUCACUUGUA